rnacentral:rRNA from 1 species
CAGCAGCCGCGGUAAUACGAAGGGUGCAAGCGUUACUCGGAAUUACUGGGCGUAAAGCGUGCGUAGGUGGUGGUUUAAGUCCGUUGUGAAAGCCCUGGGCUCAACCUGGGAAUUGCAGUGGAUACUGGGUCACUAGAGUGUGGUAGAGGAUAGUGGAAUUUCCGGUGUAGCAGUGAAACGCGUAGAGAUCGGAAGGAACAUCUGUGGCGAAGGCGACUAUCUGGGCCAACACUGACACUGAGGCACGAAAGCGUGGGGAGCAAACAGGAUUAGAUACCCCAGUAGUCCCUGUCUCUUAUAA